rnacentral:rRNA from 1 species
AUGCCUAACACAUGCAAGUCGAACGAACCCUUCGGGGUUAGUGGCGCACGGGUGCGUAACGCGUGGGAAUCUGCCCUUUGCUUCGGAAUAACAGUUAGAAAUGACUGCUAAUACCGGAUGAUGUCUUCGGACCAAAGAUUUAUCGGCAAAGGAUGAGCCCGCGUAGGAUUAGGUAGUUGGUGGGGUAAAGGCCUACCAAGCCGACGAUCCUUAGCUGGUCUGAGAGGAUGAUCAGCCACACUGGGACUGAGACACGGCCCAGACUCCUACGGGAGGCAGCA